rnacentral:lncRNA from 1 species
UUAUUGGGGAGGGAUCGAGUGGCCCUGUAACAAUGCCGGAUGAUACGAUGGGGGCUUCAAAUUGUAUUGUGAUGGUAUUGGAUGAUACGACGAAGGAGCAGGGUUGCAUUGAGGCGGCAUUAGAUCCUCUCGUUGUAGGGAUGACUCAUAUUGUGGAAGUGAUGGAGGGUCAGACAGUUCCCUUAUCUCUUCCUUAGCUUACUUGACAAAUAUGAGUCUCUCUAAAAUCUUCAAGAGUUAAUCGACAUCCUCUCGAAGCGACCCGUAUCAGGUUGCCCUGUUUAGUAAGGGGCCUCAUCUUCUCUGUCUUUGUACUUAUUUUUAAUAAGGAAAGGUUGGGUGAUAGUUCGUAUUUGGUAUUUUUAAGUUUUUGUGUAAGGAAUGGUUCCGAGGAACGCGGAUCUGAUACCAACUGUAACGAACCAAAACUUUAAAAGGAGAUAAAGACAUAAAUUGAAUGCGGAAGCGAAAUAAUAGAGUUAUGGUAUACAUUUCUUAUAC